AGGACGAACGCUGGCGGCGUGCUUAACACAUGCAAGUCGAGCGGUAAGGCCUCGGGGUACACGAGCGGCGAACGGGUGAGUAACACGUGAGCAACCUGCCCCUGACUCUGGGAUAAGCGGUGGAAACGCCGUCUAAUACCGGAUACGACCUUCCGCCUCAUGGUGGAGGGUGGAAAGUUUUUUCGGUCAGGGAUGGGCUCGCGGCCUAUCAGCUUGUUGGUGGGGUAACGGCCUACCAAGGCGAUUACGGGUAGCCGGCCUGAGAGGGCGACCGGCCACACUGGGACUGAGACACGGCCCAGACUCCUGCGGGAGGCAGCAGUGGGGAAUAUUGCGCAAUGGGCGAAAGCCUGACGCAGCGACGCCGCGUGGGGGAUGACGGCCUUCGGGUUGUAAACCUCUUUUACCACCAACGCAGGCUCCGGGUUUUCUCGGGGUUGACGGUAGGUGGGGAAUAAGGACCGGCUAACUACGUGCCAGCAGCAGC
rnacentral:rRNA from 1 species